ensembl:miRNA mir-1822 ncRNA
AUUCUUGAAAACUCCAAUAGUUUCUCUGGGAAAGCUAUCGGCCAAAUUUAACUGUCCGAGCUGCCCUCAGAAAAACUCUUGGCUCAUCGAGAAA